rnacentral:misc_RNA from 1 species
GAUGAAGAACGCAGCGAAAUGCGAUAAGUAAUGUGAAUUGCAGAAUUCAGUGAAUCAUCGAAUCUUUGAACGCACCUUGCGCUCUUUGGUAUUCCGAAGAGCAUGCCUGUUUGAGUGUCAUGAAAAUAUCAACCUUGACUUGGGUUUUGUGCUCUAGUCUCGGCUUGGAAUUGGGUGCUUGCCGCUUUUACGAGCGGCUCACCUUAAAUGUAUUAGCUGGAUCUGUCUUUGAGACUUGGUUUGACUUGGCGUAAUAAGUAUUUCGCUAAGGACAUUCUUCGGAGUGGCCUCGUUUCUAGGACGCUUGUCCGCUUUCCAAUACAAGUUCCACCUCGUGGACAUGACUUUUUAUUAUCUGGCCUCAAGUCAGGUAGGACUACCCGCUGAACUUAAGCAUAUCAAUAAGCGGAGGA